GAUGAACGCUGGCGGCGUGCUUAACACAUGCAAGUCGAACGAAGCACUCUAUUUGAUUUUCUUCGGAAAUGAAGAUUUUGUGACUGAGUGGCGGACGGGUGAGUAACGCGUGGGUAACCUGCCUCACACAGGGGGAUAACAGUUGGAAACGACUGCUAAUACCGCAUAAGCGCACAGUAUCGCAUGAUACAGUGUGAAAAACUCCGGUGGUAUGAGAUGGACCCGCGUCUGAUUAGCUAGUUGGUGGGGCAACGGCCUACCAAGGCGACGAUCAGUAGCCGACCUGAGAGGGUGACCGGCCACAUUGGGACUGAGACACGGCCCAAACUCCUACGGGAGGCAGCAGUGGGGAAUAUUGCACAAUGGGGGAAACCCUGAUGCAGCGACGCCGCGUGAACGAAGAAGUAUUUCGGUAUGUAAAGUUCUAUCAGCAGGGAAGAUAAUGACGGUACCUGACUAAGAAGCACCGGCUAAAUACGUGCCAGCAGCCGCAGUAA
rnacentral:rRNA from 1 species